UAAUAAAUAAAUAAUCAUUUCGAAUAAAAAUUAAUCCCACGUUGUUUUAUCAUUAAUGUAGUCUUGUGUGGUAUAAUACGCUUUAGAAAUAAGUUUACGCUUUACAUCAUUCUUAAAUUUAUUAAUAGAUAAUUCAGUAAUAUGGUUUGGAAGUUUAUUAUAAAAUCUCACACAAUUACCCAUGAAUGGUUUUUUAAUUUUAUGGAGCCGAGUGAAGGGCACUGCGAGCUUAUGUUUAUUUCUAGUAUUAAUAUUAUGAAUUUCACAAUUUUUUCUAAAAUUUACAAUCUUUUUAUGUACAUACAGAAUAUUCUCAUAAAUGUAGUGCACUGUCAUUAUGUCAAUUUUCUUAAAUUUAUCUCUAAGUGAGUCUCUAUAGUUCAUUUUGUAUAUUGCACGAAUAGCCCUCUUCUGCAGAACAAAAAUGGUAUUUAUCUCUGAAGCACCACCCCACAGUAAAAUACCAUAUGCCAUAAUGCUAUGGAAGUAACUAAAA